rnacentral:rRNA from 1 species
UACGGAGGGUGCAAGCGUUAUCCGGAUUCACUGGGUUUAAAGGGUGCGUAGGAGGGUAGGUAAGUCAGUGGUGAAAUCUCCGGGCUCAACUCGGAAACUGCCGUUGAUACUAUCUGUCUUGAAUGCCGUGGAGGUGAGCGGAAUAUGUCAUGUAGCGGUGAAAUGCUUAGAUAUGACAUAGAACACCAAUUGCGAAGGCAGCUCACUAAACGAACAUUGACUCUGAGGCACGAAAGCGUGGGGAUCAAACAGG